UGUACUGUAUUAUUCAUUGUGUGUCCAGCUAAGCGGACUUUCCACGCCAAAAACCAUUCUCUCUCUCGCUGCUCUCUUUUCUCAAAGGUCUAUCUAUCUAUAAUCAGGAUCAUGUCUUCUUCGCAGUCACACAUCCUGGUGUUCCCCUACCCUGCCCAAGGCCACAUGCUCCCACUCCUCGAUCUCACUCAUCAACUCUCCCUCCGUGGCUUAACCAUCACCAUCUUACUCACCCCUAAAAACCUCCCCACUCUCUCUCCUCUCCUCUCUUCCAACCCUUCCAUCCAAACCUUACUCCUUCCUUUCCCUCCCCACCCUCAACUCCCCCAUGGCGUCGAGAACGUCAGAGACGUUGGCAACGCCGGAAACCUCCCCAUCAUGGCUGCCCUCACCAACCUCUACGACCCUCUUCUCCACUGGUUCACUUCCCACCCUUCUCCACCAAUCGCCAUCAUCUCCGACUUCUUCUUAGGCUGGACUCUCCGCCUCGCCAACCAACUCAACAUUCCCAGAAUCGUUUUCUUCUCCUCCGGUGCGUUUUUGGCCUCCGUACUUUACAACUUGUGGCCUGCCACUAACGCACAAGCUCUUCGUUCUCUACCCACCCUUGAUUUUCCUGAUCUCCCCGGAUCGCCCACCUUUAAGCAGGACCAUCUUCCCUCCGUGUGGCGCUUCUAUAACGAAUCCAACCCCGAGACCCACUUCAUCAAAGAUGGUAUGCUCGCUAAUACCGCCAGCUGGGGUUGCGUUUUUAACAGCUUUCAUGAAUUGGAAGGUCAUUACUUGGAUUACCUGAGAAAGAACUCUCGGGUCUACGGGGUUGGCCCGUUAAGCUUGGUGGGCAUCACUUCCAACGGUGUUGGUCGGGGCAACCCGGAUUCUCAUUCGGGCAAUGAUGACCACGUCAAAACGUGGCUUGACGGGUGCCCCGAAGGAUCCGUUCUGUAUGUGUGUUUCGGGAGUCAGAAGCUGUUGAAUAAACAACAGGUGGAGGGUUUGGCUUCCGGGCUAGAAAAGAGUAAGACCCGAUUUAUAUGGGUGGUGAAAACGGGUGCGGAGGUCGGGUUUAUCCCGGAUGGGUUUGAGGAGCGAGUGACAGGGACUGGGAGGGGUGUGAUAUUAAAGGGAUGGGCCCCACAAUCGAUGAUACUGAGUCACAAAGCAGUGGGUGGGUUUCUGAGUCACUGUGGGUGGAACUCGGUGUUGGAAGCGAUAGUGGGAGGGGUAAUGAUAUUGGGUUGGCCAAUGGAGGCGGACCAAUUUGUGAAUGCAAAGCUAUUGGUGGAGGACAUGGGCGUGGCCGUUUGGGUGUGUGAGGGGACCAACUCUGUGCCUGACCCGGACCACUUGGCAAGGGUCUUUGAUGAGUCAAUGCUUGGGGAUAGUGCCACGAAAGUGAGGGCAAAGGAGUUGAGGGACAAGGCUUUUGAAGCGGUCAGUGGUUGUGGUAGCUCUUCAACGGAUUUGGAUGCACUUGUCAAAGACUUGGGUCAACUCAGCUCAGCUCCCACCGUGCGUGAGUGAGAUUAGGCAAAAAUCUAGGACUACACCCUUUGUGCCACGAUUCAUGCAGUGCCGCACACUAUCUUCAUUUUUGUAUCUGAACAUAACCUUCAACGCAAAUGUGGUGUGGCUCUAUGUAAGGUCAUUCAUGGGCUCAUAAAAAUUAUUUUUUGAGAGUGAUAGUGUAAGGGGAAUGUGCUCUUCUUUUUUUCUACGAAGCACAGAAACCUGUCUUUGCUCCUAGUGUGGACUUGGUUAAAGAUAUAAACAAAGCAGCCAUAGUUGCAAGAGAUGUCUAUUUUAGUUUUGUUAAUCUUGUUGUAGGUUGCAACAUGUAGCUCAUGUUCUGGCAAAAGAAGCUUUGCUGAGUUGUAAUUCCCAAAUUUGGUUUUUU